rnacentral:pre_miRNA from 1 species
GAUCUACUCCCUCCGUUCGGAAUUACUUGUCACAAAAAUGGAUGUAUCUACAACUAAAAUACAUGUAGAUACAUUCAUUUCUUGGACGAGUAAUUCUGAAUGGAGGGAGUAGUAG